GAUGGGAGAGGAGAAGAAAAUACCAGACUGCAAUAGUAUUGAGCCGGAGAUAAGCUUGGUGCUAUCUCUUCUUCUUAGUUUUCUUGUUUUUUUUGUGUUAGUGUUAAUUCUAGUGAAGAGAAUCGAUUUAAUGAAUCAAUGUUUGAUUUACAAAGUUGUUUAUGGAUCACUAUUUAUCAAUUGUUGUAAAAGAUUGAGGAUGUAUAGAAGUUUCCAGUCACUAUUUAUAGUAAGGUUGUAAGUUCAAUGGAGAGGAAUUAUAAUCGAAGGAAUUGUCUCGAUCAAAUUCUAUGGAUUGGAAGUUGUUCGUUUCAGGGUUUGGGUUGUGCUUGUGUGUUCGUAAAUUACACAGGGUAUUGAAAUUGAUGUCAUGAUUGUUACCAUAUUGAUAUGAGAGAGUGGACAGUAAGAGGAAAAAUUAAGUAUUCUU
rnacentral:lncRNA from 1 species